CCUACGGGGGGCUGCAGUGAGGAAUCUUGGUCAAUGGGCGCGAGCCUGAACCAGCCAAGUAGCGUGAAGGAUGACUGCCCUACGGGCUGUAAACUUCUUUUAUAAAGGAAUAAAGUGAGGCACGUGUGCCUUUUUGUCUGUACUUUAUGAAUAAGGAUCGGCUAACCACGGGCCAGCAGCCGCGGUAAUACGGAGGGUCCGAGCGUUAUCCGGAUUUAUUGGGUUUAACGGGAGCGUAGAGGGGUUGUUAAGUCAGUUGUGAAAGUUGGUGGCUCAACCGUAAAAUUGCAAUUGAUACUGGCAGUCUUGAGUACAGUUGAGGAAGGCGGAAUUCGUGGUGUAGCGGUGAAAUGCUUAGAGAUCACGAAGAACUCCGAUUGCGAAGGCAGCUUACUAAACUGCCACUGACAUUGAUGCUCGAAAGUGUGGGUAUCAAACAGGAUUAGAUACCCGGGUAGUC
rnacentral:rRNA from 1 species